rnacentral:rRNA from 1 species
UGGGAACUGCGUUNUGAACUGGGUAGCUAGAGUAUGUCAGAGGGGGGUAGAAUUNCACGUGUAGCAGUGAAAUGCGUAGAGAUGUGGAGGAAUACCGAUGGCGAAGGCAGCCCCCUGGGAUAAUACUGACGUUCAUGCUCGAAAGCGUGGGUAGCAAACAGGAUUAGAUACCCUGGUAGUCCACGCCCUAAACGAUGUCGAUUAGCUGUUGGGCAGCUUGACUGCUUAGUAGCGUAGCUAACGCGUGAAAUCGACCGCCUGGGGAGUACGGUCGCAAGAUUAAAACUCAAAGGAAUUGACGGGGACCCGCACAAGCGGUGGAUGAUGUGGAUUAAUUCGAUGCAACGCGAAGAACCUUACCUGGUCUUGACAUGUACGGAACCUUCCAGAGACGGAAGGGUGCCUUCGGGAACCGUAACACAGGUGCUGCAUGGCUGUCGUCAGCUCGUGUCGUGAGAUGUUGGGUUAAGUCCCGCAACGAGCGCAACCCUUGUCAUUAGUUGCCAUCAUUCAGUUGGGCACUCUAAUGAGACUGCCGGUGACAAACCGGAGGAAGGUGGGGAUGACGUCAAGUCCUCAUGGCCCUUAUGACCAGGGCUUCACACGUCAUACAAUGGUCGGUACAAAGGGUAGCCAAGCCGCGAGGCGGAGCCAAUCUCAUAAAACCGAUCGUAGUCCGGAUUGCACUCUGCAACUCGAGUGCAUGAAGUCGGAAUCGCUAGUAAUCGUAGGUCAGCAUACUGCGGUGAAUACGUUCCCGGGUCUUGUACACACCGCCCGUCACACCAUGGGAGUGGGGGAUACCAGAAGUAGGUAGGGUAACCGCAAG